rnacentral:RNase_P_RNA from 1 species
GCAAGCAUGAGGAAAGUCCGAGCUGCAUAGGGCAAAAGCGCCGGAUAACGUCCGGUGAAGGCGACUUCAAGGAAAGUGCAACAGAAAUAUACCGCCGUUUACGGUAAGGGUGAAAAGGCGAGGUAAGAGCUCACCGGCACACGGGAGAUCGUGUUGUCAUGUAAACCCCGCUUGCAGCAAGACCAAGUAAAACAUCAAAACGGGGCUGCCCGUCCCGGUUUAAAAGGUAGGUCGCUAAAGCUUUUUGGUGACAAAAAGCGUAGAUAGAUGAUCGCUUAAACAGAACUCGGCUUAUAGGUUGCU